rnacentral:tRNA from 1 species
GGGGAUGUAGCUCAGUGGUAGAGUGCAUGGUUUGCAUAUAUGAGGAUUUGGGUUCAAUCUCUGGCAUCUCUA